UGUGCAAAAAAAAAAAAAUGAAACAGGUAAGAAGCUGAAAGUUCUUACAGUAAGCUAUGACAGUGAUGUUUGGAUGUUGAGAGAAAGGCCACUGAGGGUGUCAGUCAAGGAACACCAAAGACUUACGUGCAUUUUGUUUCUUGGGGGGAAAAAAAGGUUGGCAGUUGUGAAUGGUCAGUCUGGAUUUUUUACUCUGUUUCCCACACUUCCUUAGGAAUUACCAUUUGUUAAAUGUGCCCCCUCUUUUUCUUUUAUGAAAUGUGAGAAAGACAAACUCGCCAUUCAGUCUAUACAGAGGAUGCUGUGGAUGCUGUGAUACCAUCACGGGAUGCUGUGAUACCAUCGUGCGAGAAAUAAUAGGAUACUCUGUAUAAAAGCUACAAGAGGGAAACCCCAUGUUGGAUUCCUCCAAAAACAGCAAGCUCUUGGAGGAAGGCCCAGGAGGGACCUUAUUUAUUGCUGUUGACACCACAUUCCCUGGGAGCCCACCUUGCACAGCGUCUCCCGCUGCCUGUGGGACCAUUCUGGUUGGAUGCUCUGCCCUCACUCAGCUCCUCUACCAGAAAGAACAGUAACCUCGCUCAGCAGAAAAUUGGCCUCUUGGAAACAACAGUGGCUGCCACUGGAUGGCUAGAAAUGCUUUUUUGCUUGGCUGUAGCUCUUUUAAUGUGAUGAACAUCAGCUGAUUUUGUAAAAAUAAUAAUAACUUUA